GUAUUGAUGACGAGUCCCAGACUAGGACGAAACAGAUUUCCAGUAC
rnacentral:hammerhead_ribozyme from 1 species